AGCUGAUUGCAAGGUGAUCCCAACCAUUAAGCCAAGGUUUUGAAUGCUUUUCCUUAUUUGGCUUCUCCAAUCAGGCUAGAUAUUCCAAUUUCUUUCCCAUUCUGCUCUUGGUCUUCUAACCAGCCAGAUUUGCAUUGGAUUCUUUAUUUGGGCUUCAAAUCAGGCUACUAAACUUCUUUCCAAGUUUGAAUACGGGUCAACCCCAAAAAUGGCAUGUUUUCAUUUCUUUUGACUUCAAAUUGAUCCUAAAAUGCAGGAGUGAAAAUUCCAACUCACCUAAUUUAGGCCAAAGUAGAACGACAAAGACGUGAAAAGGAAGAAGGCGUACUUUCAAACUAUACUUUGUUACACAUCUAAGGAAAACCUUAAUGCUAGUCAAACAUUGCAAAUUUGUGGAGAAAACCGCUUUGACACAAAGUAAGCCAUAAAUUCGAAAAGGAACCUGUAAGUGGAAGAGUAAUGCCGUAUUGAGUACCAAGCCAAAACCAACCAAUUCACAAUUAAAAAAAUAAGUGCUCAAUAUAUUCAGGAUUAUUGUAACAGAGUUAGCAUAUUGGAACCAGAGAAAUACCCUGUCGUUGAAGUUGAUCCUCUAUUGGCAUCUUAUUGAAAAUAAUCCUCCAAACUAAAAUAGAGUAGCAAGGUGGAAUGAAAGGACACCAUCAGUUUUGAUAACAUGUUCGGGAUAAGUUUGAUGACUUAUCUUCGGGAUGAGCUUGUGUUUUGUGACGUUUAUAUAUUGCAUUUCUAAGUUGUAACCCCAAGUUGAAGCUAGAAUUCUGAGAAUUGACCUUUUUAAUGUUUAACUAUCUUUCCUUCUGGUUUGCUAUUGAAAAGUCAUCUUUAUAAAUAUGGGUUGUAAUUUUUAGUGGAUAUAUUUAGUUAUGCAUUCAUCUUGCUAAUAUGUUGAUAAUGCAUAGUGUUGUUUUUACUUUCAAUCAAUGACAUAAAGCAUAUCAGAGUUUCAUAUUAGUUUGUUCUUCUUUCGCCAUUCUGUGGGUUAUUAGGUAUUAUAAAAGCAUGUUCGACCUCUAGAGGUUCAACCCGCUCUUGUUUGGUAUCGGUUCGAUUAUCGUUUCUUCUUCAGUUUUUUCCACUUAGCCUUCGGGAUUUUUUUUUUUUCCCUCUAGUCUUCUUUGAUGGAAAAUUGAUAUUUUUAUUCUUCGUUUUUGUUGAUAUUG
rnacentral:lncRNA from 1 species